rnacentral:RNase_P_RNA from 1 species
AUUUUUGGAUAAUCGCAUGGUAUUGUCAUACUAUGAGGAAAGUCCAUGCUAGCACUGGCUGUGAUGCCGGUAGUGUUUGUGCUAGGCGAACAAAUAAGCCUAGGAAUAUUCGUUUAAGAAUAUUACGGCGGGAGAACUGGCUAAGUUUUAGGAUAUGCCAUAGUAUCUCUGAAAGUGCCACAGUGACGGAGUUUUUAUGGAAACGUAAAAAAUGGAACGCGGUAAACCCCUCAAGCUAGCAACCCAAACUUUGGUCGGGGCAUGGGAUACUUGGAAACGAACAAGGUAUCCUGACUGUUUAUUUAAACAGUAGACAGAUGAUUAUCGAAGGAAAUGAGACCUAGUCAUUUCUGGAACAAAACAUGGCUUAUAGAA